AGCGCUGUGGCUGAACGGCAAAGGCGGCAGGCUGCAACCCUGUCAUGUACGGGUUCAAAUCCCGUCAGCGCUUCCA
rnacentral:tRNA from 1 species